rnacentral:rRNA from 1 species
UGGGGAAUAUUGGACAAUGGGCGAAAGCCUGAUCCAGCCAUGCCGCGUGUGUGAAGAAGGUCUUCGGAUUGUAAAGCACUUUAAGUUGGGAGGAAGGGCAGUAAGUUAAUACCUUGCUGUUUUGACGUUACCAACAGAAUAAGCACCGGCUAACUUCGUGCCAGCAGCCGCGGUAAUACGAAGGGUGCAAGCGUUAAUCGGAAUUACUGGGCGUAAAGCGCGCGUAGGUGGUUCAGCAAGUUGGAUGUGAAAUCCCCGGGCUCAACCUGGGAACUGCAUCCAAAACUACUGAGCUAGAGUACGGUAGAGGGUGGUGGAAUUUCCUGUGUAGCGGUGAAAUGCGUAGAUAUAGGAAGGAACACCAGUGGCGAAGGCGACCACCUGGACUGAUACUGACACUGAGGUGCGAAAGCGUGGGGAGCAAACAGGCUUAGAUACCCUGGUAGUCCACGCCGUAAACGAUGUCGACUAGCCGUUGGGAUCCUUGAGAUCUUAGUGGCGCAGCUAACGCGAUAAGUCGACCGCCUGGGGAGUACGGCCGCAAGGUUA